GGUGUGGCUAUUGGAGAGGAGCUGGACAUUCCUGGCGAAUCUCUCCUGUUGUCUCCACACACACCUGUGUUCCACUUAAAGGCAAUCAGCCUCCUCCUGUCUGGUUGCUUAAAAGCAGCGGUUCAGUGUACUUCUUCGCCAGAUUGUCUUGGCUCACCUGAGGUUCACUGCUCCGUCUGCAGCCUUGCCCAGUUUCUGCUCCAGUUUCUGACCUGCCUGCUUGGAUUUAGUCUCUGUCCUCAGCCAGCCUGCUUCGUGGGACACCUGUCUCCUUUUAUGUUCAUCUCAUUGAAGAGGUCAGAUGUCGCUGUUCCCUCAGCUUUCCAACCUGGUGCCCGGUAUUCUCCAUUAGCCCUGGAAGCCAACCCUGCAGCUGUCCCCGCUCCAGUCCCACCCUGGAGGUGGCCGUUACACCUGUCAGAUAAGAGUAGGGUACAGCAUCUUUAAGAUCCACUGACCCCUAACCCCACUAAGCAAGUGUAGAAAAUUAUUAUUAUUUAGAACCAGCACAAUGAACAGUAAAAGAGUGAAGACUAACUUUUUCACAAAGUACAAUAGGACAAUUAUCAAAGAAUACGACUGAAAAUAUGACCUCAGAGCAGCUGGCUAAGCAAAUCAACAUAUUGAUGAUGGACUAACACAUUUUUGGUUUGGGACUUUAUUUGGAAUUUGGAGUUUGAAUAUUGCCAACUAUGUCCUUUAAUGUUAGAGAAAGAUGGGAUGUGUCAACUGGUUCAUGUGGAUAUGUGUGAUGGGAAACCUACUUUUCAGUGAUGAGAUCUUGUGCAUUAUAUUCCCAAACAUUCAGUAGGCCCUUCCACAUUUUUGGAAAAACUUGACAGUAUGCAUUUAUUCAGGAAUUACUAGUCCGCCAAAGCAUGAGACAGAGUUGACUAUUUUCAAAUAAAGCUGUUGUGAUCACUAA